AAUUCCUACUUGCCUGUUACAGGUCCAAGGAUGCAUGUCACCUUAUAUGUCUACAAAUGUUUUGCCCACAAGCUAAGAUGAUACAACAUAUUUGACACUCUAGAGUUUCUUCACACAUACCCUCCACAGAUGUUAGGAAUUACACAAUGACUCAAAAGUGAAAUUUUAUUGUCUUUCUUAUUCGAGUUUCUCAAACUGUUUUGUAUCAAACAUAUCUUUGUUGACAAUGCAACUUUGUCCAACAUUCAGGAAUGUUAACCACCGGGGAACUAAUUGUAUUUAUUGCUUCCAUGUUCUGAAAAUGGUACCUACCAGAAAACUAUUUGUCUUCUCAGUUGAUCAAAGGCAGUUGGUGAACUUUUUUUGAAAAUCUGUUAAAUGGAAUACGAGUGGAAUUCUGCAUCAAGUGCAGUUGGUGUGAUCAAUGAAAUCUGGGUUUCAUUUCUCCUGCUUUCGAAUUAAAAUGUUGUUAACCGUGCACUUCUAUUUAAAGUUUGGUAUUUGCAUAAAAUUAUUGUGCCUUGUCUUGACUCUUGCGCUUGGAUUUGGACUGUUUUAUCAAUUGAGGGGCAAA
rnacentral:misc_RNA from 1 species